AUCAAUCCUCUCACCAGCUAAAGGAGAUCCAUACUAAGAGGUUUCAACAACAAGAGCCAGCUACCACAAGUCGUCAGACAACGACUCUGGUCUCUGGGGAAAGCGCAGCCUCUCGAAGCAGAGUGCCACUACCGAUUUAGCUCGAUUAAGAGAUAUCAAACUCAAUCGUUUGAAAACACAUCGCAGCAAGUCCGGACAUAGCUCCGACCCGUUUGCUUCUUUUUCUUCUUGUCUCCCACGAUUUGCUUUUU